rnacentral:sRNA from 1 species
GGGGUUCUAUGGCAAGUUAAAUAAGUGCACGUUGAACUCCUUGUUCUACUACUUUCCCCCCUCCUCACUACUGCACUUGACUAGUCUUAA